rnacentral:lncRNA from 1 species
AGCUUCACAGGAUAGUGGGAAAAGGAAGCCUAGGAUGAAAGUGAAGUGGGAUCCCAGGGUGACAGCUUUGCAGCAGGCACACAGGGCAGAAAUAAAGCUGAACUGGGGCAAAGACUACACUUGAGUGAAAUCUUGAACAAUGUGAGUGGGAGGAGGAGAAGGCCUGGCAAAUUAGAAGCACAACCUUGAAGGGCAGAGGUAAGCAGAGACGAAAAUUACAUGUGGGAAUGAGGAAGGUAGGUGUGAGCUCAGUGAAAAAACUGUCAUUUAGGAAACAGUGCAUAGAUCCAGGACAUAGGUAGGAAGGAGACAGAAAAGUGCUUCUGAGAACAUAGGUGGGAAGUAAAGAACCGUAAAAUCUUAUUUUUUUUUUUUUUGAGACAGG